CCCAGGGGAUUCGGCGGCCUAAUCGCCCCGGGCGCCCCAGCGCGCCCCGGACCCAGGCGACCGCCGGAGGCACCAAACUCUGAAUCUACUGUGGAUCUUCUGAGUGGCAUAAGCAAAUAAAUCAAAACUUUCAGCAACGGAUCUCUUGGUUCUGGCAUCGAUGAAGAACGCAGCAAAAUGCGAUAAGUAAUGUGAAUUGCAGAAUUCAGUGAAUCAUCAAAUCUUUGAACGCACAUUGCGCCCGCCAGUAUUCUGGCGGGCAUGCCUGUCUGAGCGUCAUUUCAACCCUCGGGACCCCGUUCGCGGGACCCGGCGUUGGGGAUCAGCCCGAAGCCCCCAGGGCGGGCGGCUGGCCCCGAAAUCUAGUGGCGGUCCCCCCAGCGACCUCCUCUGCGCAGUAGUUUGCACAACCGCACCCUCUCCUGCGCAGUAGUUUGCACAAG
rnacentral:rRNA from 1 species